rnacentral:rRNA from 1 species
AACGAACGCUGGCGGCAGGCUUAACACAUGCAAGUCGAACGCGUGUAGCAAUACACGAGUGGCGCACGGGUGAGUAACACGUGGAUAUCUGCCUUUUGGUUCGGAAUAACCCUGGGAAACUAGGGCUAAUACCGAAUGGUUCCUACGGGAUAAAGAUUUAUCGCCAAAAGAUGAGUCCGCGUCCGAUUAGCUAGUUGGUGAGGUAACGGCUCACCAAGGCGACGAUCGGUAGCUGGCUGAGAGGACGAUCAGCCACACUGGGACUGAGACACGGCCCAGACUCCUACGGGAGGCAGCAGUGGGGAAUAUUGGACAAUGGGGGCAACCCUGAUCCAGCCAUGCCGCGUGAGUGAUGAAGGCCUUCGGUU